rnacentral:misc_RNA from 1 species
ACCGGAGAUACCCUGGAACAAGGAGUUCGCUAACUCCGUCCGCCUAAUCGGGAACGUCGGCGCCCCGGUCCAGAUCAAGCACCUCAGCAGCGGCAAGGUCCUCGCCUGGACCCGGCUCGGCGUGCGGAAGUCCCCCACUGAAACUACCUGGAUCAAUCUGACAUUCUGGGAUGAGCUAGCUCUUGUUGCAUUCCAGCAUGUAGAGAAGGGUCAGCAAGUGUUUGUCUCUGGACGUCUUGUGUCAGAUACGGUAGAAGGGGAGGAGGUGGACAAGCCACGGGUUUACUACAAAGUGGUUGUUCAGGAGCUGAAUUUCAUUGAGAGGAACAUGCCGCCGGUGCCCUUAUAUGAGCCGGAGACAAACUAUGGAACUUCAGGUGCAAAGUUUGGGGAUUUUGCAGGUAAUCGUGGUAGUGGUGGUUCGGCGGA